UUUUUUUUUUUCUGGCUAAUGGACUCACAAGGUGAAUUUAUUGCAGCUCUUUUAGAACGUUACACGAGAGACGUCGGUAUCCCAGCUGGAUAAUUCAUAAGCUGAAAAGCAACAGCAUUUCUUGGUACGCCUGCUUUGGCAUACAUCAGCAUUUCUACCCGUCCAAGUGUCCUUUUGCGUCACAUCUCGCCAUCUCCCUCAACCAAUGAGCUCUCCUCCUUGCAAUAAAAAUAUAGAUAAUAGACCUCAUUUUCAACACAGGAUGGUUUCUAAUAAAACAACCUCCAGCAAUGUUUCAUAAAAUAGUCAGCUACGUUGGUUUC